rnacentral:rRNA from 1 species
CUACGGGUGGCUCCAGUGAGGAAUAUUGCACAAUGGGGGGAACCCUGAUGCAGCAACGCCGCGUGGAGGAUGACGCAUUUCGGUGUGUAAACUCCUUUUAUAUGUCAAGAAAAUGACGGUAGCAUAUGAAUAAGCACCGGCUAACUCCGUGCCAGCAGCCGCGGUAAUACGGAGGCUGCAAGCGUUACUCGGAAUCACUGGGCGUAAAGGACGCGUAGGCGGGUUGGAAAGUCAGGUGUGAAAUCCUACAGCUUAACUGUAGAACUGCACUUGAAACUUCUAAUCUAGAGUAUGGGAGGGGAAGAUGGAAUUAGUGGUGUAGGGGUAAAAUCCGUAGAUAUCACUAGGAAUACCUAAAGCGAAGGCGAUCUCCUGGAACAUUACUGACGCUAAGGCGUGAAAGCGUGGGGAGCAAACAGGAUUAGAUACCCUGGUAGUC